rnacentral:tRNA from 1 species
GCCUGUGUGGCGUAGUGGUUAAAAGCGAUACACUCGUAAUCUGGGGAACCAGGUUCGAUUCCCUGCUCCUCCACGUGCA